rnacentral:rRNA from 1 species
AAACCAGCACCUCAAGUGGUCAGGAUGAUUAUUGGGCCUAAAGCAUCCGUAGCCGGCUCUGUAAGUUUUCGGUUAAAUCUGUACGCUUAACGUACAGGCUGCUGGGAAUACUGCAGAGCUAGGGAGUGGGAGAGGUAGACGGUACUCGGGAGGAAGUGGUAAAAUGCUUUGAUCUCUCGAUGACCACCUGUGGCGAAGGCGGUCUACCAGAACACGUCCGACGGUGAGGGAUGAAAGCUGGGGGAGCAAACCGGAUUAGAAACCCGAGUAGUCC